rnacentral:rRNA from 1 species
UUCGCCCUUAGGGUUUGAUUCUGGCUCAGGACGAACGCUGGCGGCGUGCUUAACACAUGCAAGUCGAACGGAAAGGCCCUGCUUGCAGGGUACUCGAGUGGCGAACGGGUGAGUAACACGUGGGUGAUCUGCCCUGCACUUCGGGAUAAGCCUGGGAAACUGGGUCUAAUACCGGAUAGGACCAUCGUUUAGUGUCGGUGGUGGAAAGUUUUUCGGUGCAGGAUGAGCCCGCGGCCUAUCAGCUUGUUGGUGGGGUAAUGGCCUACCAAGGCGUCGACGGGUAGCCGGCCUGAGAGGGUGGACGGCCACAUUGGGACUGAGACACGGCCCAGACUCCUACGGGAGGCAGCAGUGGGGAAUAUUGCACAAUGGGCGCAAGCCUGAUGCAGCGACGCCGCGUGGGGGAUGAAGGCCUUCGGGUUGUAAACUCCUUUCAGCAGGGACGAAGCUUUUGUGACGGUACCUGCAGAAGAAGCACCGGCUAACUACGUGCCAGCAGCCGCGGUAAUACGUAGGGUGCGAGCGUUGUCCGGAAUUACUGGGCGUAAAGAGCUCGUAGGUGGUUUGUCGCGUCGUCUGUGAAAUUCCGGGGCUUAACUCCGGGCGUGCAGGCGAUACGGGCAUAACUUGAGUGCUGUAGGGGAGACUGGAAUUCCUGGUGUAGCGGUGAAAUGCGCAGAUAUCAGGAGGAACACCGAUGGCGAAGGCAGGUCUCUGGGCAGUUACUGACGCUGAGGAGCGAAAGCAUGGGUAGCGAACAGGAUUAGAUACCCUGGUAGUCCAUGCCGUANACGGUGGGCGCUAGGUGUGGGGGUCUUCCACGACUUCUGUGCCGUAGCUAACGCAUUAAGCGCCCCGCCUGGGGAGUACGGCCCGCAGGCUAAAACUCAAAGGAAUUUGACGGGGCCCGCACAAAGCGCGGAGCAUGUGGAUUAAUUUCGAUGCACGCGAAGAACCUUACCNAGUCUGACAUCCCUCUGAAUCCUCUAGAGAUAGAGCGGCCUUCGGGACGAAGUGACAGUGGUGCAUGGUGUCGUCACUCGGUCCUGAGAGUUGGNUUAGUCCCGCACGAGCGCA